UGUAGAUGCAAUAGUAACCCAAUCCCAUUCUAUUACUGUACAAAAUGCAAAAUGACGCCGUUUUGUGUCCUUACAAAGGGAUGGGUUUUUUCUCUCUGUAUGUAUUCAUUUUCGUCUGCUCACUUCAUUGCCUUGUUUUUGUCGAUUCACUCUCGGUCUUGGAGAAAUUUGUGGAGAAUCUAUCCAUGUUCCUUUUUUUUUGGCUCUAUAUUUUGAUCGAAGAUCUACCCUCUGAAAAUUAGUUUCUUUCUAUAUAUAGGUGUAUAGUGUUAGUCUUUCACAUCUUAGAUUCGAAGAUUUAUGGUUUCGACGUGUUUGUGGUAAAUUUGUUUUUGAUACCUUUUCUUAUGAUCUAGCCUUUGGUAGAUAUUUUUUCUAUGCAUAAACUACACUGCAUUGCUUCUUUCUCUUUUCCAGAUUAGGCUUGAGGAUGUAAGGUUUUGAUCUUUUGGGGUUUCAUCUUUUUUCAAAGGUGAGUUAUUACUGGUUUAUUGUACAUGGUUGUUGUUUUAUGUUGGGUUAUUUUACGUUUGUGCAGAAUCUAAUAUCUCUUAUAUUUUUCAAAAUCGUGACUUUUUUUGUGAGGUGAUCUGAAGGUGCAUCUUUAAGCAUGUGGAGUUUUUCUUCUUCUCGUCUUGGAUUUUGGAAAUGCAAGGACUCUAUGGUAUUUUCAACUUUAUUUCUUGUUGCUCAAAUCAUGUAAAAAAACAGUUUACAUGUGUGGUGUUCAGAAGUAAAGGGAAAUUUUCAUUUUUUUGUUCUUUUCCUUUCAUAAAUGUUCUUUCAGUCAGAAAAUUGUUGAAGGAAUGUGUUCAAUAAGAAAUUACUUGUUGAAGAUUGGGGUUUUCGUUUAUAUUGCGGUUCUUUCUAAUUACUUGAACUGAUAUGUUGUAUCUGUUUCAGUUGUGAUGCUUGUCCGAAUCUGUAUUUUGUUGAGUUGAUAUGUGAUUUCACUUCACUUCAUCACUACUAUAUAAAAAGGGCAAUGAAAAUUUUAUUGUAAAUGCAAUAGUAAUUCAAUACCCUCCAAUCCUCUUACAAACCGACACCGUCUAGCAAAUGAAUGAUGCCCUUGUUUGUUGCAAUUUUGUACUCCUAGCACAUCAUAUGUUAUUGUACACAAAAGCUUUUUACGUCCAAUCCCAUUACUAUCCUUUACAGGAAGCAAAAAUUCCGGAAGAUGAACAAGUCAAAAGUAUAUGGUGGGAUGUUGAAGGCAAAUGGUGGUAUUUGGGGAAAGUUAAAAAUUGCACAAAUCAAUUCAAAAUGUAUGUCAGCAUGUGGG
rnacentral:lncRNA from 1 species